rnacentral:rRNA from 1 species
AUUGAACGCUGGCGGCAGGCCUAACACAUGCAAGUCGAACGAGUGGCGGACGGGUGAGAAAUGUCUGGGAAACUGCCUGAUGGAGGGGGAUAACUACUGGAAACGGUAGCUAAUACCGCAUACCAUCGGAUGUGCCCAGAUGGGAUUGGCUUGUUGGUGGGGUAACGGCUCACCAAGGCGACGAUCCCUAGCUGGUCUGAGAGGAUGAUCAGCCACACUGGAACUGAGACACGGUCCAGACUCCUACGGGAGGCAGCAGUGGGGAAUAUUGGGCAAUGGGCGAAAGCCUGAUCCAGCCAUGCCGCGUGUGUGAAGAAGGUCUUCGGAUUGUAAAGCACUUUAAUUUGGGAGGCGUUACCAACAGAAUAAGCACCGGCUAACUUCGUGCCAGCAGCCGCGGUAAUAC